ensembl:lncRNA
AUUGCAUUACUGGGGUGGAAUUAUAACAUGGAAAAAGCCAUAUAUGACAUAGCUUUAUUUUUUCCACCAAAGAAAUGAUCUCAAAUGUUUAAAGGGCCCGUAUUCUGAUGUUUUCUGAUCUAUGUUCUAAUGUUUCCUCAUCACAAACAGACCUAGAAUUGUGUUUUGUUUCUUUCGCACAUGUUUAAGUUCUUCUCUGAAACAGGACAACACUCUGUUCCACCUUGUGAUGUCAUAUGGCAAUACAGGAAGCACUAUGUUUUUAAACUCCACACACCUUCACUAGCAUCAUUUAGUUGAUUUCAGCCCUGGAACUGCCAAUCUCUGCUGAACGAAACAUAAAAGAUAAAAGGUAGAUGCGAACUGAAGACUACCACUUCAUGACAUCACAAGGUGGAACAGAGCAUUUUGAGGUUUGGAGAUGUAGCCAGACUAAUAAUAAAGUGUGACUCAAACAUGUGUGAAUGAAACAAAAACACAACUUCAGGUGUGUUUUUGAGGAGAUAACAACAUUAUAACUUGGCUUGACGCUCACAAGAGUCAAUUUUGCGUAAUAUAGGACCUUGAACAAUUGAAAUAUGCAAAUGAACUCACAGCUUUAAGACCAGGAUGCGGGAAACUGGACCGUCUCAGUGGAUCUAAACCAGGACUGCGUUGCCCGGAGCAACUUGUAAAUAAACUUUUAAAAAAGACUUAAAAACCACUCCACUUUUCCUCAAAAUCAGGGACUUCCUUCUUCUCAGGGCGAACUGAAAGCGACCCGCGACUACUACACUGUCCUUAUGACAGAGACAAUCAUGUACCCAGGUCUAAUGUUAUUGUAAUGUAAUGUUAAUAUUGUAAUGUAUGUUUUUGUUUAUCCUUCUUAAUUUAUUGAUGAUUCUCUUCCAAAGAUCUUAAACAGUUUCAAAACACAACCUUAUCAGGGCUUUUUUAUAUUUAUGUAACUUAACUUUCACCUAAACCGGCACAUACACGGCAUAGCUUUUACAUUGGUCAAUCCGUCUCUGCCUUUCGUUCAGAAUAAGGGCAUUUUUACCACGUUACCUCAGAGUGAAUGUUCGAAUGAUUGUGAUAUAAUAUUUAUUUUGUGUUUUUUUUUUAUUUUUGCUACUUGAAGAAGAAUGAAGCGGGGGAAGGUUUAGCAACGUGUAGCACAUUUGUCAUUCUGUUUGAGAACACUGACGCUAGCAACCAAAGUGACACGCCAGCUCCCAUAUUCUGCCCUUAUGCUAGGCUAAUCGCUAAUCUUUGUUUACGGCUAACUUAUUCUAGGGUCGUCAAAAGUAUCGAAAGAGUGAUACUGUUCCUUAAUAUCGAAAUCAACUUUUGAAAUGUUGGUAUCGUGACAGCGCUACUUCAUUCACGACGUCUUCCAUUUUCAAUCUUCCACCAAUCAGAAAAAAAAUAAUAAUAAUAACUCAAAAUAUUUAAUAUAAUUUGGGCAGGAAAUGGGAGCUGGAAAAUGAUUAUUUAAACCAAAAAGGGACGAAGGAAAAAAAGGAUGAAGUGAAUUUAACUUGUUUCUCUUGUAAAUGUUUGUGAAUAGUCUUCAUUGUCAGCCAUCUUGUUUUUUGUUGUUGAUUUCCUGAAUGCACUGGCUCCGCCCCUUCUCCUUUUGACGACUUUAUUUUAUUUUAUUCAUAUUUUAUUGCGACACUGAAGCAUUAGGAGUGUCUUAAAGUCAAACCUGU